rnacentral:rRNA from 1 species
CGCCCGUCGCUCCUACCGAUUGGGUGUGCUGGUGAAGUGUUCGGAUUGGCGGCAUUCGGCGGUUCCCGCUGAGUGCAGCCGAGAAGUUCAUUAAACCCUCCCACCUAGAGGAAGGAGAAGUCGUAACAAGGUUUCC